ensembl:lncRNA
AAGCGAAAGGGAACAAGACUUAUGACCCAUAAUCUGGUGGACUUGGCGAGGGUUCAUUUUACGGUCGAUGUGGGAAGGAGACCGUGAACCUUUUAUAAGAAGUAGGUGACUGUUGUUGACUGAGCUGAAAAAGGACUCACAGGCUUCAAGUGAACCUCGUUUCAGCUUCCCGUGGGAAACAAAUAUUGAGCCUCCUGCUAUUUUAAUAAUUGAUAACUGAUUAAUCCGAAGCCAUCGGUGUCAGACCACCGCAGAGCUUUCAUUUCCCACGACCUUUUCUACCUCUUCUUCAUGCUUGAUGUAAUAAACGUUUAAGGGAAAGAGUUUCUCUUCCCCGAGAUAACAGACAGACGCGUUCAUGAACGUAGUGAAUAAUAAAGCCGUCAGCGGGCCUUUGGUGUCUGUAGCUGAUAUCAUUUCAGGUUUAUGGGAAUUACCCAGCAGCCCCUCCUCCGGUCCUGUAUCUUUCCACUGAAACAAAGAAGCACAAGUCGGCUUUAGGGCUUUAAACCGGCGAGGAAUCAUGUAGUAGCGCGCGAUCGAGAGGAGGCCAGCGGCACCCGUCAGGUGGAGGCGUCACAGCUGGAUGCAGGAAGACUCGACACACCGAGUGACCGUCUGCUAAACACAACAAAAUACGAGCAUGUUCAAAGAAAUGCAUCGAAAUGCAGUGAAUCCACAUUUUGCAGUGAUGAACUUGUGCGUGUUGGUCACAGUAAAUGGAGGAAAGUGAUGUUCUCGCCUGCAGCCUCACGGCUUUGACCUUCGAACCCCCUGAAGGCCGUCUUCGUGUGAUCGGCAUGUUGUUGUGGAUGCGAGAUCCUUUCCGACGCUUCUUCCUCUUCCCGUCUCGUCACAGUGAAACGGCAAACGGGCAAAAGCAGCUUUGGGAAACAGAAACGGAUGAAUUACCUCAAGUACAAGUAAAGACUUCAUUCCACCCAUAAUCUGUCAUCUUUAAUCAAAGGGCGACCUUUGACCUUGUGCUGCUUCACCUGCUUCGACCCCCCAGGUGUGUGAUACUGAUCUGAUUCAUUGUCUGCAUCCGCCCGGCGUUUAACAGCUGUUUCCUCCUCACAAGCAGAAGGCCGAGGGGAGUCGGGUCAGUCCUGAUCCUCUAUGUGAACCAGUAUCACCAUAGUCCUGAUCCUCUAUGUGAACCAGCCUCACCGUAGUCCUGAUCCUCUAUGUGAACCGGUCUCACUGUAGUCCUGAUCCUCUAUGUGAACCAGCCUCACUGUAGUCCUGAUCCUCUAUGUGAACCAGUCUCACUGUAGUUCGAUGCUCUAUCCGGUUGCUACUGUGAAGUCCUGCAGGGUCCCGGUGACGGGAGGCGAGCGCAGCCUCACCCUCCUGCACGUGGAAAUAAAUGAAAUUCUUGCACCACGAGGGGACGAAGCCGCUGUCGGGAGGGAGUUUCGUGUUGCGCAGCAGUUGUUCUCGCUCUUCCUGAAACACUCCUCUGGAAUCUCUGGAAACCGGUCAGCCGAAUCUAAAAUUGGACCUCGGCCCUGUCCGUUAUUGUCCCCUGUCCGUCACACCCUUUUUCCACACACACGCACAGCUGUUUCUAAGCAGGGGGGGGGCAGCUGGCUGUGGGGAACGUGCACGGUGGGGGGGAACGUGCACGGUGGGGGGAACGUGCACGGUGGGGGGGAAACCCGGCGGAGCGUCCAGUGAACAGUGAAGAAGAUUCACGGCCGUCUCUCUGGUUCCCGUGAGGAGACUUUGGGACAUUUGUUACUGAUCGUCCAUUUCUUCAGUCUCUGCUUCUAUUGGUCCACUUGUAUUGUAUUACAUAUAUAUUCCUAUUAUAAUUUCAUGAAGAAUGGAUUGAUUACAUUGUCAGUAAAUAGAGAAUAAUGCCCUCGAUAGUUCUCAAAGUGACUCUAAAACUGAAACUCAUUCGCAAUUGACGAUGACAUAAAACCCCAAUAUUUAAUUAAAAUGAUGAAACGUACACAUAAAACAGCUAAUGCUAACUAGCGCUCCUCCUCCCGGGUUCAAGUGUGAGGAAACGUGUUUCUGCCGCAGCGCCGUAGGGACGUCGGGUUGAUGUACCCGCUUGGCCCCCAGCUCGUGUUUUAGUUUGGUCGCCUUCACCUUAAAUGAGCCACUCGAAGGCCUUGGACGCGUCCAUGUGGACAGCUGUGCUCUAAAUAUACGCAACGACUUCCUAACUUCAGGGAAAGAACAGAAAAAAAGAUUUCCUGUAACCGCAUCCCACAGCGAAUAAAAGGGAAAACCCACAGGAAAAACAGUGGCAACGUGCAGACGGCAGAGGUCACAGGUCACGUUUGAGUUGUUAUUGAUGAGCUGGCCAGCAGUGGUCUGUAGACUUGUCGAGGCUCUGCACAACGACAACAAACACAACAACAAACAAAGCUAUUUGGUUGCAAACAGGAAUAAAAGUUUAUUUUUUACUGUCGAACCUUGAGAGAAGAAUCUCUCCAUUCUCAACAAGUCACGUUGUGCAGAAUGAAGACAGCCUUCUGUCUCUGAAGACCAGUCAGGCGGUGUGUAGCCGGUGUGUAGGCGGUGUGUAGGCGGUGUGUAGGCGGUGUGAAGGCGGUGUGUAGGCGGUGUGAAGGCGGUGUGAAGGCGGUGUGUAGGAGGUGUGAAGGUGGUGUGAAGGUGGCGUGAAGGUGGCGUGAAGGCGGCGUGAAGGCGGCGUGUAGGCGGCGUGUAGGCGGUGUGAAGGCGGCGUGUAGGCGGCGUGAAGGAGGUGUGAAGGCGGUGUGUAGGCGGUGUGAAGGCGGUGUGAAGGCGGUGUGUAGGCGGUGUGUAGGAGGUGUGUAGGCGGUGUGAAGCCGGUGUGUAGGCGGCGUGAAGGCGGCGUGUAGGAGGCGUGUAGGCGGUGUGAAGGCGGUGUGUAGGCGGUGUGUAGGCGGCGUGUAGGAGGUGUGUAGGCGGCGUGUAGGCGGCGUGAAUGCGGCGUGUAGGCGGCGUGUAGGCGGCGUGUAGCCGGCGUGUAGGCGGCGUGUAGGCGGCGUGAAGGCGGCGUGUAGGCGGUGUGUAGGCGGUGUGAAGGCGAUGUGUAGGUGGUGUGUAGCCGGCGUGUAGGCGGCGUGUAGGCGGCGUGAAGGCGGUGUGAAGGCGGCGUGAAGGCGGUGUGAAGGCGGUGCUCCCGGUCGCUCCUCGCCGUGACGCGCUCCCUCCGGCAGCGAGGAACAAUAGGUGGAACCAGCUGCUGCAGGAGAGUCGGUGUUACUCUGUUUACGGACGCCGGCCUACGUCAGCUCUCCCAGCGUGGAGCAGCAGGGCCGAGGGCGCGGUUGUGUGUGUGCGUCUGUGUGCGUUUGCCUGUGUGUGACACGCUACAAAGAGGGUACCUGCCUACCUGGAAGGAGACCGAUACUCCCCGUUUACCUUCCACUGGGAGGGUGGUGGGUUAAAAGCGUAAACAACAACAACAACAACCAAGUUGCGUGCUUUUAUCUCUUGGCUCAGCUCACUGAUCAAAGGACGGCCGCCACAUAAAAAUAUCACACGGGAAUCAGGAAAUGUUUUCCACUUCUGUUAUAAUGCUGGGAAUCAACCCGGAUCAUAUUUAGUUUCCACUCAGAGAUUAUUUGUCUGUAACUGUGGGAGUCUGAUUAUGACCUUGAGCUCGACACAAAGAACGCUGAGUCACAGAAGAAGGUCACCGGAUUGACAAAUAUCAGAACCUUUGCUGUAAAAUGCAGGAAACAGCUCCGGUCUGAGGAAUGAAGUCAGCGCUUCGUGUGUUAAACGUGCAUUCUUUAAGUAAUCAGUAAUAACUGACAUCAAUUCAUCACAUAUCAUAUUUGUGACAGAUUCCCUUUUUCAUCGUUUUCAAGAUUUUAGCACCAAACAGGAAACACAAUACGGGGCCAUGUGAUUUUCCCUUAAAGAUGGCCGACUCUUUGACUCUUAGCUCCGCUAGCACCGUUAGCUGCUAGCAGCCGCGCACACGUCCGUGCACUGAGCUCGCUGCGAUGUUGCUUUUAAACGGAGGCGAUUGGCUGUGGGAAAAUUCACGCACUUCAUCUUCGUCGGAAAAGUUUGCACAAACUCGCCAAGAACCUUUGCAAUCGACACGAUUCCAUCCAUGUAGCAACGGCAACAUGAUAUCUAGCUCAUAGCUACUGGUCUUAAUGGUGGAUUACACACACUACUGUCCGUAGGGACAACAACAGUAAUGUCGGGGGGACAGAUGCCCCCCCCCCCCCCCCCCC